GCAGACCAGCUAUUGAUGUUACCAGAGAACAUAUUGAAUUUCUGCUGAAGCAAGGUCAUACAAUUAAAAUAAAUCGCUAAAAUACUGGGAUGCUCUUCAUCAUUUCUGUACAAGAGGCCAAAGUUGAUGGGUAUACCUGUGAGAAGUAGGCUGUCUGCAAUAGAUGAUGGCGAACUGGAACAGCAUGUGAGGCGACUUCAGGAUGAUGAGAGCCCUGUUGCAUGCACAGGGUGUGAUUGUUACACGGACCAGGGUGCGUGAGAUGUUAACGAGGAUAAAUCCUACUGCUGCUGCAAGGAGAUGGAGCCAGACAGUUGCAAGACGGGUUUAUCAUGCACCGUACCCCAACAGUUUGUGGCACAUUGAUGGGAACAUGCGCCUUAUAAGAUGGGGCUUUGUGAUUCAUGGUGCCAUUGAUGGACACUCCCGUCUGAUUACUUACCUCAACUGCAGCACAGUGCCAUAACAGUGCUUUCUCAGUUUUUGAAAGCAACGUGCCUCUAUGGGCUACCCUCGAGAGUCAGAUCUGACCAUGGUGGUGAAAACCUGCUUGUGGCUUUAAUCAUGCAUCUAGUUCAAGGAAUUGAACACAGAAGUUCCAUAACAGGAGAGUCAGUUCACAAUCAGAGAAUUGAAUGUCUUUGGCGUGACGUAUUUUUGCAUGUGUUGCAGCACUUUUACCUUACGUUCUACUCUGUAGAGGAUUCAGAGGUUCUAAACCCAGAUAAUGAUGUCCAUAUACUUUCACUGCAUAUUGUUUAUCUUCCUGAGAUUCAAAACAGGCUGGAGCAUUUUGGACAGGCCUGGAACCACCAUGCGUUGCGAACAGAAAAUAAUCACACACCGACUCAACUCUGGACAGAGGGCAUGCUCACAAACAUUGCAACAGACAACACAGCUGUCAACAAUGUGUUUGGGGAAAAUCCCUACAGCGAACAAAACAUUGAUGCCAUCUUAGCUCGGCAUGGAAUUCAAACACUGCUGACACUUGAUGACAGACUUCCCGGCUGUAACUGUAGAGCCACCUCAACUCAUCCUCACUCAGCAACAACAGGCAUCUGUGCACAAUGUAGUCCAACACAUUUCUGAUCUAAAGAUAAAAUAUCAGGCUUGCUGUACUGCAAUUGUCUGUAUUUUACAAGCUCAAGUAUGAGCUAGUAAAAUUUAAAGCCCAGGGACUAAACCUGAUCCGUUGCAUAUUAUCCAGGAAGGAAAAAGAUUUUGGGUCUCUUCAUACUUCAAAUCCUGCAUUAAUUGUCACUGCAUUAAGUCAGUAAUAACAAUUAGACAUUUUGAGGCAAUAUGUAAUAUAACUUGUUUCCGUUGUAAUUUGAAAUAGACAUGCCUCUAUUUUUGAAUUUGAAUCCUAAAAUGCAUCAGCUUAAUGACUAUUAUGGUUUAUGUUAAUCAUUUGGUAUAAUGUCAGAUUAUUACUUUGUUAGACUUGAUUCUCCAUGUAUGAAUAAAAACAA